GAUGAAGAACGUAGCGAAAUGCGAUAAGUAAUGUGAAUUGCAGAAUUCAGUGAAUCAUCGAAUCUUUGAACGCACAUUGCGCCCUCUGGUAUUCCGGGGGGCAUGCCUGUUCGAGCGUCAUUAUAACCACUCAAGCUCUCGCUUGGUAUUGGAGUUCGCGAUCUCGCGGCUCCUAAAAUCAGUGGCGGUGCCUGUCGGCUCUACGCGUAGUAAUACUCCUCGCGAUUGAGUCCGGUAGGUUUACUUGCCAGCAACCCCCAAUUUUUACAGGUUGACCUCGGAUCAGGUAGGGAUACCCGCUGAACUUAAGCAUAUCAAUAAGCGGGA
rnacentral:misc_RNA from 1 species